UACAGAGGUCUCAAGCGUUGUUCGGAUUCAUUGGGCGUAAAGGGUGCGUAGGUGGCGCCCGUAAGUCGGGUGUGAAAUUUCGGAGCUUAACUCCGAAACUGCAUUCGAUACUGCGGUGCUUGAGGACUGGAGAGGAGACUGGAAUUCAUGGUGUAGCAGUGAAAUGCGUAGAGAUCAUGAGGAAGACCAGUGGCGAAGGCGGGUCUCUGGACAGUUCCUGACACUGAGGCACGAAGGCCAGGGGGAGCAAACGGG
rnacentral:rRNA from 1 species